UAACAAGGAUUCCCCUAGUAACUGCGAGUGAAGCGGGAAAAGCUCAAAUUUAAAAUCUGGCGGUUUUGGCCGUCCGAGUUGUAGUCUGGAGAAGUGCUUUCCGCGCCGGACCGUGUACAAGUCUCCUGGAACGGAGCGUCAUAGAGGGUGAGAAUCCCGUCUUUGACACGGACUACCGGUGCUUUGUGAUGCGCUCUCAAAGAGUCGAGUUGUUUGGGAAUGCAGCUCAAAAUGGGUGGUGAAUUCCAUCUAAAGCUAAAUAUUGGCGAGAGACCGAUAGCGAACAAGUACCGUGAGGGAAAGAUGAAAAGCACUUUGGAAAGAGAGUUAAACAGUACGUGAAAUUGCUGAAAGGGAAACGAUUGAAGUCAGUCGCGUCGUCCGGAACUCAGCCUUGCCUCGGCUUGGUGCACUUUCCGGUUGACGGGCCAGCAUCGAUUUUGACCGGCGGAUAAAGGUUCGAGGAAUGUGGCACCCUCGGGUGUGUUAUAGCCUCGGAUUGUAUACGUCGGUUGGGAUCGAGGAACUCAGCUUCGGCUUAGGAUGCUGGCGUAAUGGCUUUAAACGAC
rnacentral:rRNA from 1 species